CCAGCCUGGGGCCUGGAUCGUCCCCGCUUGGAGGCCUGAACCCAGGCCCUGCCUCCACCAGCAGGACCACCAUUCAGGCUCCAUCUCAGUGAGCCGAGGAGGCCCGGGCCGCUGCGGAAGCAAGAGUGAAUGCAGAGAAAAGGCUUCGUUCUUUGUGGGCAGGAGUGUUGCGAGGAGUCUAGGAUACCAUGAGUAGGUCCUCAGCCGGCUGAGCUGUGAGCUCCUCGCAGAGCAAGGGCCUCAUCUUCAACACAGCUAGAGAGCCCAAGACGCUGCCUGGCACACAAUUAUGGUGACCCAUUGCUGCCCCAGGCUUACUCCACCAGACUCCAGGAUUCCCUGUUCUGUACCCUCCCCUCCUCAGCCAGAGAAGCCCAGACCGUCAGAGCCAGAAGGUCCUCAAGUUGAUCUGAGUGUCUCCUGCCCCAUUUUACAGACGGGAAAACUAAGGUCCACAGAACAGACCUCAGGAAAACACAGUGAGGAGGUAACUGGACCAAGACCCAAACCUGGGUUCUCUUUUUCAACUUGUGCUGUCUCAUGCAUGAGCUGUUUCACUG